CAGUAGCCGCGGUAAAACGUAGGGGGCAAGCGUUGUCCGGAAUCAUUGGGCGUAAAGCGCGUGUAGGCGGCUCGAUAAGUCUGCUGUGAAAGUCCAGGGCUCAACCCUGGGAUGCCGGUGGAUACUGUCGAGCUCGAGUCCGGAAGAGGCGAGUGGAAUUCCUGGUGUAGCGGUGAAAUGCGCAGAUAUCAGGAGGAACACCAAUGGCGAAGGCAGCUCGCUGGGACGUGACUGACGCUGAGACGCGAAAGCGUGGGGAGCAAACAGGAUUAGAUACCCCAGUAGUCCCUGUCUCUUAUAC
rnacentral:rRNA from 1 species